rnacentral:rRNA from 1 species
CCCAGACUCCUACGGGAGGCAGCAGUGGGGGAUAUUGCACAAUGGGGGGAACCCUGAUGCAGCGACGCCGCGUGGGUGAAGGAGCGUUUCGGCGCGUAAAGCCCUAUCGGCAGGGAAGAAGGAGGACGGUACCUGACUAAGAAGCCCCGGCUAACUACGUGCCAGCAGCCGCGGUAAUACGUAGGGGGCAAGCGUUAUCCGGAUUUACUGGAUGUAAAGGGGGCGCAGACGGCAGCGCAAGCCAGGAGUGAAAGCCCGGGGCCCAACCCCGGGACUGCUCUUGGAACUGCGCGGCUGGAGUGCAGGAGGGGCAGGCGGAAUUCCUGGUGUAGCGGUGAAAUGCGUAGAUAUCAGGAGGAACACCGGUGGCGAAGGCGGCCUGCUGGACUGCGACUGACGUUGAGGCCCGAAAGCGUGGGGAGCAAACAGGAUUAGAUACCCGCGUAC